rnacentral:rRNA from 1 species
ACUCCUACGGGAGGCAGCAGUGGGGAAUAUUGCACAAUGGGGAAACCCUGAUGCAGCCAUGCCGCGUGUGUGAAGAAGGCCUUCGGUUGUAAAGCACUUUCAGUAGGGAGGAAGGUAGUGUAGUUAACACCUGCACUAUUUGACGUUACCUACAGAAGAAGCACCGGCUAACUCCGUGCCAGCAGCCGCGGUAAUACGGAGGGGUGCGAGCGUUAAUCGGAAUUACUGGGCGUAAAGCGCAUGCAGGCGGCCUGUUAAGUCAGAUGUGAAAGCCCGGGGGCUUAACCUCGGAAUUGCAUUUGAAACUGGCAGGCUAGAGUCUUGUAGAGGGGGUAGGAAUUUCAGGUGUAGCGGUGAAAUGCGUAGAGAUCUGAAGGAAUACCAGUGGCGAAGGCGGCCCCCUGGACCAAAGACUGACGCUCAGAUGCGAAAGCGUGGGGAGGCAAAC